rnacentral:lncRNA from 1 species
GUUGGAUUCAUGAAACCCGCAAAUUUGUCACUAUCCUGCUUACUUCUUUUAAAUAACCCCUCAGUCCACUUUUACCCUAACGAAAAGAAGAAUAAAUGAAAAUCCCUUGAACUUUAGGUUUUUUUAUAAACAGGCAUUUAAACUUUCAUUUUAGGCAAUCAAACUCUAAACUUUAUAAAAUAAUCCACAGAUUCUUCUCUUCAAUUGAAAUUACAUUGUCAUUUUGGCUGCAAGUCUUGCACAUAAUCUUUUAGAGCUUCAAAACACUAAAAU